AUUGUAGCUUGCUAUAGUAUAACUUAGUGGCAGACGGGUGAGUAAUGUAUAGGAAUCUACCUAGUAGUACGGGACAAUUGCUGGAAACGGCAACUAAUACCGUAUACGCCCUACGGGGAAAGAUUUAUUGCUAUUAGAUGAGCCUAUAUUAGAUUAGUUAGUUGGUGGGGUAAUGGCCUACCAAGGCAAUGAUCUAUAGCUGAUCUGAGAGGAUGAUCAGCCACACUGGAACUGAGAUACGGUCCAG
rnacentral:rRNA from 1 species